rnacentral:lncRNA from 1 species
UGGAAAAUGCUAGGAGUAAUCUGACAGCUUCAAGACGUGCUACUGGUGCAUAGGUUUCACCAAAAUCAAUUCCCUCUUCUUGGUUAUAACCUUUAGCAACCAGCCUUGCUUUAUUUCUAGUGAUAGCCCCAUGUUCAUCCAUCUUGUUCAUGUACACCCACUUGGUUCUUAUGAUAUUCAUCUCAUGCUUUAUUGGAACCAAAGUCCACACUUCAUUGUAUUCAAACUGGUUCAGUUCUUCCUGCAUUGUUGUUAUCCAAUUGCUAUCUUGCAGUGCUUCUUCCAGACUUUUAGGCUCAAUAUGUGAAACAAAGGCCACUGUUCUGCAGAAAUUAUUAAGUGAAUUCCUUGUUGAGACUCCUUUCUCAAUUUUACCAAUUACAUUGUCUAGUGUAAGAUCCCUGGGUGUCUUCCAUUCCUUAGGCAAUCCUGCAUUCACAGUAGAUUCUUUGACAGAAUUUUGAUUAGUUGCAUCAAGCUCACUAGAUUGAUUCUUUUGCAAAAUGGUUCUUAAAUCAUCCAUACCAGGUUCAUCCAGAACAAAUUUGGGCAUAGAAAAAUCUGUUUCAUCAAAUACAACAUGUAUAGAUUCUUCUACUGCAAGCAAUCUUUUGUUAUACACUCUAUAAGCAUGAUCAUUUAUAGCAUAUCCAAUAUGUAUUCCCUCAUCUGAUUUAGGAUCAAAUUUCCCCAGAUUGUCUUUACCAUUAUUUAGAACAAAACAUUUGCAGCCAAAAACCCUAAGAUGACUAAUGCUAGGCUUCCUACCUUUAUACAAUUCAUAGGGAGUUUUCUUAAGAAUUGGUAUAAUCAAAGUUCUGUUAAGCACAUAAGAAGCAGUGUAUACUGCAUCUGCCCAAAAAUAUUUAGGUAAACCAGAUUCAUUUAACAUGGUCCUAGCUAACUCCUCUAGUGACCUAUUCUUCCUUUCAACAACACCAUUUUGUUGGGGUGUCCUAGGAGCAGAAUAACUAUGUGUGAUUCCAUGUUUUUCACAAUAUCUAUCAAAUUUUGCAUUUUGAAAUUCUCCCCUAUGAUCACUACGAAUCUGUUUUAUCCUAUUUUCAUUUUCAUUAUGCAGAAUAUUAGCAAGUUUCUUAAAGGCUUUAUAUGCAUCAUUUUUAGAAGCAAGAAACAAGGUCCAUGUAUAUCUUGAAAAGUCAUCAACAAUUACCAAGGCAUAGUAAUUUCCAGCUAAGCUAGCAGUCCUAGAUGGUCCAAACAAGUCCAUAUGUAAAACAUCCAAGGCUUUAUUUGUAGAAACCACAUCUUUAGAUUUAAAUGAAGUUCUUAUAUGUUUUCCCUUUACACAAGCAUCACACAAUAUGUUAUUCUGAAAUUUUAUGUUUGGUAAACCAGAAACUAGUUCCUUAGACUUUAGCUUAUUCAAGUGAUUUGUGUGAAUAUGAGCUAGCCUCCUACGCCACAGCAAUGACUCAUCAUUUUUAGACAACAAACACUCAUUUUCAGAACAGCUCUUUAUAAUAUCUAAGAGAUAGAUGUUGUUUACCCUUUUUCCAGUGAACAACACCUUACCAGAAAUUUCAUUUGAAAUUGUACAGGUGUUGGCUUCGAAAUUGACCUUGUAUCCCUUGUCACACAGCUGGCUAAUGCUUAGAAGACUAUGUUUUAACCCUUCAACAUACAAUACAUUCUCAAUAGUGGUUGAGUCUUUAGUACCAACNNNNNNNNNNNNNNNNNNNNNNNNNNNNNNNNNNNNNNNNNNNNNNNNNNNNNNNNNNNNNNNNNNNNNNNNNNNNNNNNNNNNNNNNNNNNNNNNNNNNCCCCAUAUGUGACAUGCCCUUCAGCUUUGAGUUUCAGAUUUAUGAACUUUUUCACAUUGCUUUUCAUUUCAGAAUUAUAUCCUAGACCAUUUUUUAUUAAAAACAGCAUUUUGUGAACCUAAUAAAGUUUCAAGAUUUUCUCUUCCUUUGGUGAAAUUUGAAAGUGUUUUUAACAAAUAUUCAACCUGUUUUUCCAGCUUCUUACAAUUAUCACAGGUUUUUAUUGAUGCAUGCAAACAAGUUAAUUCAAGGCUUACCUACCCAGUUCUUCUUCAAGAGCUUUGACCUUAGGUUCAAGUACCCUAUUUACUCUAUUCCAUUUGUUGCAAAUUACAGCUAAUCUGUUUGCUUCAUCAUGUGUUUCCUUAAAUGCAAUUAAUAGCUGAUCAUAAUUUUCAGAAUCAGUAGAAAAAUCACUUACUGAAUCAGAGUUAGAUUCUUCAUCAUUCACCAUAAAGCACAGAUUUGCUUCCUCACUUUCGGUUGAGGAAUUACUAGAUGAGGAUACAUCAUUUUCUUCCCAUGAGAUGUAUGCUCUUUUGCCUUUGCUUCUUUCACUCUUCUUGCUUGCUGAUUUUUCUUUGUUUUGAUUGUUUGGACAAUCAACCUUUAUUUGACCUGGUUUACCACAUCUAAAACAAGUGUAUUGGAAGAAUUUGAAUCAUUGGGUUUAGAGUACCUCUUUCUUUGUUGAGUUCUGUCACGAUUUUUCUUUCUAAGAAACCUGUUGAAUUUUCUGGUGAGAAGACUCAAAGUCUCAUCAUGUUCAGGAUAAUCUUCUUCCUCACUUGUAUCAUGUUCCAUGGUAGUUUUCAGGGCAAUUCCUUUGGCUUUCUUCUCCACAAUUUCUUGUUCUUUCAAUCUUUUCAGCUCUAUUUCAUGCUCCAUCAGCUUUCCAAAAAGUGCAGCAGUGAACAUCUUGGAUAAAUCUCUGGAUUCUGAGAUUGCUGUUACUUUAGGCUGCCAGCUCCUAUCAAGGCAUUUCAGCACCUUUAUGUUGAGCUCUUACUUGUCAAAGACUUUACCAAGGCCAGUGAGGUGAUUUACAAUAUGUGUAAAUCGUUUCUGCACAUCUGCAAUACUUUCUUCUGAUUGCAUUCUAAACAGUUCGUAUUCCUGAAUGAGUGAGUGCUUCCUUGCUCGUUUCACAUCAUCAGUCCCUUCUUGAGUUACCUCUAGUACCUCCCACAUCUCCUUUGUUGAUUUGCAUUGAGAGACUCUAAAGAACUCAUCCAUAUUCAGUGCAGAGGUGAUGACAUUCUUGGCUAAGGAGUCAUAUUGGGCCUUCUUCUUCUCGGUUUCACUCCAUUCAGACCAAGGCUUCUUUAUUGUUUCUUCUUUGACAACCUGCAUAAGUAUAAAAGGUCCACUGACCACUGCAUCCCAGAUCCCCAUGUCAAUAGACUCCAUAAAGAUUUUCAUCCUGAUUUUCCAGAAAGCAUAGUUAACACCAGCAAACAUAGGAGGUCUAUUAAUAGACGCACCNNNNNNNNNNNNNNNNNNNNNNNNNNNNNNNNNNNNNNNNNNNNNNNNNNNNNNNNNNNNNNNNNNNNNNNNNNNNNNNNNNNNNNNNNNNNNNNNNNNNCAGCAAAAGGAAUUUUAAACUCAGACAUCAUGCAUACACUUGAGCAAAAUACAAGCCCUAGCUCUUGAUACCAAUUGUUAGAGUUAAGCAGUGUCUAAGAUCAAGAGGGGAGGGGUGAAUUGAGCUUAUCAAAUUUUCGCAAAACAAUCUAAUUUACUAUGUAACAGAGGUGAAAAGAACAAAUUGAUAUUAAAUGGAACAGAUUGUUUUUACAGAUGAACCUAGCACAAUUAAAACAAGAUCAGCACAGUUUAGAUCAACUAGCAGAAAUACCAGAACCAAAUUGAUUAACUUUCUCAGUUUAUAAAGUUGCAGUUUAAGGUACAAGAUUAAUCAAUUUUUACUUAACAUGAUCCAUCUAGAGUAAUGAACCAAAUGUCACAGUUUAGUUAAAGGAACCAGUUCAUCCUUCUUAUCCUAUUACAGAUUCACACAGCAGCUUGAUUUAUGAUUAGAGGAUUGAUUAACAAGUUAGAACGGCAGAUUUAACCAUAUCCAGAAUUAACAGAUUUAGUUUCAAUAUAACAGAUUCCUUUCUUGACAGAUUAUGUUAAAUUACAGAAUUAAGAGCAGGGAUGAGAAAAGAAACACACAAGAAUUUUUAUACUAGUUCACUUAUCAAGAGCUACGUCCAGUUCACCUCACUCCAAGGUGUAAUUCACUAAAACUGAUACAAUCAAUUACAAACACACAGCAGUUCUUGAACCCUUCAAGAACCUCAACAAUCAAGGCUGAAAAACACUAUUUCGGCAUACCUUGCACUCCAAGAAACCCUAUCUAGAGUGACUAAUACUCAAAACCAAUACAAGAAUGAAUAAGGAAAAGAUUACACCUGAAACAGUGUUGCAAGAACAUAAACCAGUUGUUCUAUUUGCUCCAAGACAAUACUAGCACAAGGUUCUUCAAGAACUAGCUCACAUGUAUUUCACUUUUGAAAAACCUUUGCAAAAACCUUUUCAAUUCACUUUUUCACACAUGAAAUGUUGUAUCUCUGUUAAAACUGUGAUUGUUCAGCAUCCCUUUACGUGAGAAGGGCAUUUUCUUUUAUAGAUAACAGUUUCUAACCACUUUAAAAAAAAACAGUUACAGAGCAGUUAGCAAAACAACAGAUUGAUUCUGAAAAACAACAGGUUAAAAGAUGAUAAAGCUGUCAGCUCAGCUUAACUCAAAUAACAAACUGAGAUGUACCUUUGGUGCCCUAACAGAAUUUCAAAAAGCCUUUAACAGAGAAGAAAUAAACCAAUUGCUUCUCAAUAAAACAUAUUUAUUUUUGUACUUGAUCCGAUCGGUCAUCGGUAUUCGGUGACAUCAGCAACAGAUAGCCACGUGGACCGUUCUUAGUGGAACACGUGGGCCAGGGAAGCAGACGUGUCAUUGAGAGAGUCACCCAGGGUGGUGAUCGGUGAUCAGGGGGCGGUGGUCAGAGAGAAUGCGCGAUCAGCGCCUAGAUAAGCGCCUGGAAGCAGAAGACGUGGCACUAUGGGGGACCGAUCGGUCAUCUGGUGUGAGCGAUGAUCAUCGGGUUUUCGUGUUGCAUGCGGUUAAGCUGGAAACAAAGGACGUUUCCCAGCGAGAGCGUUGCAUGCGAGCCUUGUGUGGCAGACUAUCCGGGAAAGGAGAAGUUAUGAGCUUUGUAGUGACAUGAACGAGAGUGGCCUAAGAGAGCUAGUAAGGCUGACUUGAGCGUCGGAGUGCAAUCGACCGCUAGAGGCGCCGUUUGGUGUGUUUCGCAGGUUUGCUUGGAGUUCUUGUGGAGUUCCUGGAGCAUUCUUGCACUUGUCGUGAUUGAGGAGGUGGAAGAUAGAUUUUGACGUGGCGAAUCCUUCGACGUUUGAAUCCCCUGCAAGAUCAUUUGGCGCCCACCGUGGGACCCGUGUGAAUUUGUGAUCCCAUCCACACUUUGUUGUCAGAUUUCGUUUGUUCUUGAGGUUCUUUGCUGAGAAAAUGAGAAAGACAAGGCAAAUUUCACCCGCGCCAUCAGCUGAAGAAGGAGUUGUGACGAUGGCGCAGGUCUUGGAAAUGAUGCGAACGCUGCAAGACAAUAUGGCAGCGUCGAGAGUGGAACAAGAAAGGAUGCAAGCGGAUUUGGCUGCAUCACAGAGCAGAAACGAGGAGUUAGACAGAGUUAAUGAAGAGUUGCGCAAGGCGCUGCAAGCGCAGAAGGAACGUGCGGCGGAAGAAAGGGUGGCGCCGCCGCCGUCUCCCCCCAGGACUUUCCCCAUGCCUUUCUCAUCGGAGAUUAUGAGCGCGAUAGUGCCACCAAACUUGGUGGGGGUGAAAGCCUUGUUUACCGGGGUGGAGGACCCAGAGAUGCAUCUGACAGCGUUUCACACCUAGAUGAUGCUCUCUGGGGAUUCGGAUGCGGUGUAUUGCAAGCUGUUUAUGAGCACCCUGAGCGGAAUUGCUCUGGAGUGGUUCGUGAGCCUACCAGAUGGCCACAUCACCUCGUUUCAGCAGUUCUCUAAGUUGUUCAUGGAGCAGUAUAUUGUGAACAGGGCACCCCCAGUGGUGUCGUAUGACUUGUUCGACGUGCGACAAAACCAAGGUGAGUCCCUCAGGGACUACCUUAGUCGUUUUGGAGCUCAGGUGGUGAGGCUGCCCAACAAAGAUGAAGAUAUGCUGGUGCAUGCAUUUAAGAAAGGGGUUCUACAGGGCCCUUUCAGUGAAUCGUUGAUCAGAAAUCACCCCAGCACCUUUGGGGAGAUUAGGCGCCGUGCUGUGGCGCCCAUCGUAGUAGAGACAGAGGUUUCUGAGAAGAGGGGAAGCGCGGCCCCUACCAAGUCGCGCGUAGGACCGAGCAGGUCUCAGCAGCCGAUGAGGGUGCAUGAGGCCAAAGAAGGAAAGAAGGCUCAAGGGAAGCCUCGCCCUUACGGGCCUGGGAAGGAUCAGGGUAGGGGGCGCGCGAUGGAGAGUAACGUGCCCCCCAGGUUUGACUUCGUGGUGGAAUUGGCGGAGCUGAUCGCCAUUCCAGCCAUAGCGGCACGGUUGCGAGCACCAGAGAAGACUGACAAGGUGUUGGGAAGGAAAAAGAAUGUGUGGUGUGAGUUUCACCAAUCUUAUGGUCACUCGCUCCACUCGUGUUUGGCGUUGGGACACCAACUCGCGGAGUUGGUAAAAAGUGGCUUUUUUAGCCUUUACUUGCGGGAGGCGCAAGGUGAUCGGGCGUCGGGGCCACCAGUAGAAGAUCCGCAACACGAGGUACCUGUGCACGGAGAGGUGCACACGAUCGCGGGGGGCUUCUCUGGAGGGGGGUGUACAGCCUCUCAGAGGAAGGGAUACACUCCUUUUGUGAUGACUGUCGAAUCGGUGGAAGAAGAUCAUACCCCCGAUGCUGACAUUACAUUCCCAAAGGGCGGAUCUCCGGGACGUUGUGCCUCACGACAACGAUCCUAUAGUCAUCUCCCUUGUCACGGCAGGGAGAAAGGUGCACAGGGUCCUCGUGGACCAGGGAAGCUCGAUGGAUGUGAUGUUCUGACCGACAUUCAACAAACUGCAGCUGUCCCUUGAUCAGCUGAGGCCGUACGUAGGGUGCUUGUAUGGCUUCGCAGGGGACCAAGUAGAGGUGCGAGGCUACAUAGAGCUGAGGACCACGUUCACAGAUGGGACCGUGGCUCGCACUGAAAAGAUCAAGUACUUAGUGGUUAAUGCCCCAUCCGUCUACAACAUACUGUUGGGAAGGCCGACGCUCAACAGGUUGGGAGCUGUACCGUCGACGAGGCACAUGAAGUUGAGGUUGCCGUCGAUGGAGGGGGUAGUAAUCACCAUUAAGUCAGACCAUAAGGAGGCUAGGCGCUGCUAUGAGAACAGCCUCAAGCAGCAAAGGAGUGUGUGCCAUGUUACCCCGACACCACCGCCGAGUGUGGACGAGAGGCGAUCGGAGGUCGCAGGGCUGGUAAGAGGUACACAAGGUGAUGUGGAGAUGGAGGAAGCAGUGUUGGGGGGCUCAGGGGUGGCCCAAGUAGAAGCUGAGAAAGAGAGUAUGAUCACGCCCCGCGAGUCUGGGAUCGCAAGGGCGGUCAUCGCUAGCGAAAAGAGGCCCCAGCCUGCUGAGGGGUGGGUGGAGACGGAGAUCCAAGUGGACUGGCCCGUUCAGAGUGGUGGAGACGUUGGAGAAUGGCGCUCAUCGGCUGGAGACUUUGGACGGGGGGACGAUCCCCAGAACAUGGAACGCCACACACUUGAAGUUCUAUUUUAGUUGAAAUUGUAAAGUAGUCGCGCUUUCGCGCUUUUGUAAGCAAUUGAACAAGUUCAGGGGGCACUCUUUUCCCUAAAAAAGGGUUUUUAAUGAGGCCACCCAAUAAAAAAAAAGUUAUCGGUAUAAGAGUUUGCAAAGUUUCAAAGUUAAAAUCCUCCCUGACCCAGGCGCAAGCGCAGGUAAUCGGUUAGGCCUUCCGCGCCUCAGGCGUGAGCAUGGCAACCGGUUUAAAGUCCUCCUCACCUCAGGUGUGAGUGCAGGCAACUAAGGUUCGAAAAGCCAGGGGUGCUAGUAAGCCCAAGAAGGGAAAUGAAGGAUUUCGAGAAACGCCUUUACCCAAGUGGCAUAGCAUCAAUAUUGGCGCAGUAGAACUCUUAGUCAAAACCCUUCUCACCCCAGGAGUGAGAAGGGGGAAAGUACGACCCGACGUGUUAAGGGUUGAUGACCUUGGGGCAAGCAAGAGGGGUUAUCGAGAAACACUCUUUCCCCAAAAACAAGGCAUCAUCUUUGACCGAUCGGCGUAGAAGUCCUCUAUGCACUUAGCGCUGGAGUGACAAGCAAUAUAAAGAGAUAUAAGGUGGAAGCAGAGGCGCGAGGUCUGAUGAGUGGGUGGUUGUAGCAUUCUGAUCGGUUAUCGGUGGUUAGAACAUUGUUUAAGAGUUUUAGACAAGUUCUUACGCGAUAGGCCUAUGCAAGCAAAGCCACGCCAGAUCAGUUAUCAAGUGUUGUUAGUUGUGAUCAAAGUCGGAAGUAGAGAAGACAAGUACAGUAAAGAUUCGUGCCAAGUUCGAAUAGGUUAGCAGUUAGUCGUGCAUGACAAGAGGUAAAGGAUAAGAGAUGCACAGCAAGGAGAAUGGUAAGAGAAAAAGUAGCAUUUUAUAUACACAUGAGGAGUCUUUACAUUCAAAGUUUAUGUACAAAGGGAUAUAAACAAGAUAGUAAAUGAUCAAGGGCGAAUGAUCUUGUCGUCCACCACCUCGAAGUCGAUAGCAAACUGAGAGUAGUCAGCCUCCGGGAAGACGCACUUAACUUGCUCGAGGGCCAAGUCGAAUCCCUCAGCAAAGGUAUCAGCGGCCUCUUCCCAGAGCUUGGUCUUCUCAACCUCGAGCUCAGCCUGCUCGGUCUCGAUCAGUUGUAAGGGUGGCAAUGGUGGAUUCAGCUUCCUUGAGCUUGGACCCCUGAUCAUUGGCACGCCUCUCGUUCGCUGCGAGAGCCUCCGCCAGAUCUGCGAUCUGUAGGCGCAGGAAGGCAUUCUCGGCGUCAAGCUGAAUGGCCUUGCCCGUGGUCUCGACCAGCUCAGCGUCAAGAGCGGCGACGGCGUCCCCCAUCAUCAUCUCCGUCUUGAUGGUUUCUUGGACUUGUAGGGCAUGCCCCCUCUUGGCUUCCUUCACCAUGUCCCUCAGCAACUCGUUGGUGCUCUGCAGGGCCUCGUAGUCGCUUUGUAGCGACUCUUUUUGGUUGAUCAGCUCGCUCAUCUUUCUCUUCAGCUUCUCGAGGCGGCGAUGUUGGGUGGAGAACUCCAGAGAAAGCACCAGCUGGCGGGCCAGAUGAAGGUCCACCUCGCUCCCGCUCCACUUGACCAGCUCGCGGUUUUGGAGCAGUUGCCUGAUCAGCUGGAUGACCCUGGUGAGCCCUUCAGUGCUGGAACCCAAGGCUCGAUGGGAACUCUCACUACCCCCCUUGGUCGUGGCGGCGGAGGCUUGAGGGCGUGGUAAGGUUGAGAGGUGAGAGGUCCCCUCCGAGCGAGCAGCCCCGCUCCCAGCAGUUUGAGAUGGUAAGGUAAGGGGUUGGCUGGCUAGGGGCGGAGAAGGAAGGUGUGCUGGAGAAGGAGGGCGUGUAGGAGAAGCCUGUGCUGAAGGAGUUGGAGAGGCAUCCCCCUCAGUGCCCUCGGGCCUUACGGUGGAAGAGCCACCCACCUCGGCUCCCCUUCUUCUUCUUUGGACUAGAGGAGACCCCGAGCUCUCCUCCUCGGUGGAUGCGACGGUGGUGGGAGCCUUCACCAGCCGUUUCCUUUUCUUCUCACCCCUGGUCUCGGGUCCUUCAGCUGGCGCGACCGAGAUGGGGGAGGCAGAGAUGGGCUCGGAGGUGGCCUCAGUCCCCGAAGACGACCCGACAGCUCGUCGGCUCUUGGCCAGCGCGAUUAGUUUUUGGCGUCAUUCUUUGCUAGAAGUCAUAUCUGCACCGGUUAAGCAUGGCAAAGGGUUAGUACACAGAGAGACAAGAAAGCAAACAAAGUGCAAAAGAGUCAAUCAAGCUAAUCAGUUCAGUAGUAGCAUGUAGAGAAGUGAUUAACAUGUGCAAGUGGGCAAGUGUAGCAAGCAAGCACACUAUCAUACUCAGAGAAAUGACAAGUUGAAGGGAAGGAGAGGGUGCAAACCAAUGUAUUUUUUAAGCAUCUCCACGUCGAACUCGUGCUUGAUGAGGGUGGAGGAGCGAAUUUAGCGCCCAAGCUCGAGAGUAGGCCGCACAGCUCGCGCUCGUAAGGUGCCAUAGCCUCCAAGCCUCGGGGUUUUUUGAACUCUACCUUGGGAACCCAAUAGAGUGGGAAGCCCUCAAGUAGAGUCGAACUAUGCUCGUUGGAGGUGAUCAUGUAGAACCUACCCUUCCAGUCCUUGAAGGAUUGCUGGUAUAGGCCCAAGAUCACUCUCCCUGACACGCCGUUCAGGCUCACCCAUGACCUAUCGCCUGGGUUCUUGGCCUUAAAGAAGUGGAGGAAGACGUCGGUUGAAGAAGGGUGUCCGAAGUGGUUGUAGAGAAUCUCGAACGCUCGGAUGAAUGCCCAAGCGUUUGGAUGGAGUUGACAGGAGGCCACGUUCAGCUCGGUGAGGAGGUCCUUCUCAAAGAAAGUGAAAGGGAGUCGAAGGUGCAACCUCUUGAAGAUAGCGGAGUAAAUGAAGGUGAAGGGCACUCCAUUGGUGGCCCUAUCAUCCACGCAUAUUGGCAUGUCCCGAGGGGGGAUGCACACGCCCAAGUGUGAGUCGUCCUCCCUGUCAAGGGCGCAUGUGGGCUCGUCUGAGUCGCUGCUCAGAAGGUUGGUGAGAUGAUCGUCGGGGAGUUGCGUAGAGGUCUCAGCGAGCAAGUGGAGGGGAGCCCACUUGUACACCCGCUCGUAGCUAUGUUGAGGAGUCGCCGCUUGGGGGUGCGCAGUCGUUGAGGGGGGCGUGCUCGUCAAGGGCGGUGGUGGUGCACUUGCGGAAGGCUGUGCACCAGAGGAGGAAGCGAGACGCGCAGUGGUUUUUGUGCGAGCCAUUGUUCAGUAGCUACAAUGGAGAAAGAAAAGAAGGAAUGAGGGACCAAUGAAAAACAGGGUUCAGCGAAAAACAAGAGGAAGGUGAGGAGAACGAAAAUGCUAUGGUUGAAAGGAGUGGAGAAGCGAAAGCGAUGAAGAAGAAGAAGCGAAAACAUAGGAAAAUACAGGAAAACCAGAAGAAACCCUAGCACAGUGCAGGGAAAGGGGAAACAGCCCACAAAGUAUGCACAGUACAGUUAUUGGAUGAUGCAAUCGGUAGAAAGUAUUCAAGAUGCCAUAGAUGAAGAAAAGGGGUACCUUUUGAUGAUCGCAAGAAGGUUCUGAAAGCUUGAGAUUGAGGGAGAUGAAUCGCGCAGAGAGAGGCUUCAAAAGUUCAGAGAAGAGUGUUGGAGAAGGUAGGGGAAUAGUGGAGGCGCGCAAAUUUUUAAAUGUGAGAAGCGCAAACGACGUUACAUGCUAGCCGUUGAUGCGUACACGUGUCGCAAGAUUAAGGAAGGAAGACGUAACGUCACUUAAAACACAGAACGUGAUGUGGCACGUGACGUGGCAUCACUUGCCACGUGGCCACUGAAGACGAUCACUUAGCCUCUUCGCUGAAAACAAAUUUACAGCUCGAGGCUGGGGGGCUUGUGAUCCGAUUGGUCAUCGGUAGUCGGUGACAUCAGCAACAGAUAGCCACGUGGACCGUUCUUAGUGGAACAUGUGGGCUAGGGAAGCAGACAUGUCAUUGAGAGAGUCACCCAGGGUGGUGAUCGGUGAUCAGGGGGCGGUGGUCAGAGAGGAUGUGCGAUCAGCGCCUAGAUAAGCGCCUGGAAGCAGAAGGCGUGGCGCUAUGGGGGAUCGAUCGGUCAUCUGGUGUGAGCGAUGAUCAUCGGGUUUUCGUGUUGCACGCGGUUAAGCUGGAAACGAAGGACGUUUCCCAGCGAGAGCGUUGCAUGUGAGCCUUGCGUGGCAGAAUAUCCGGGAAAGGAGAAGUUAUGAGCUUUGUAGUGACAUGCACGAGAGUGGCCUAAGAGAGCUAGUAAGCCAGUCGGUGAUUGGUGCUUCUUAACCCAUAACGUGCAUGGUGCAAAGCAAAGGUGAUCGUUCACACAGUAGGUAAUGCCUGGUGCAUGCGCUUAGCCAAGCCACACUUGGUAUUCACACUGAGGUUGCACGAGCCACCUAGUUGAAGAAACGCAUUAAGUUACUCCAUGCACGGAUAACUUAGGCGCGCAACAGUGUAUAUAAAGGGCAUUCCGCGCUCAUGUAGAGGGGGGUAAGAUUCAUUCUUGCAAGUGACUACUUUACACACACACAGAGUGCACAUGAGUCUCGCAGAGAUUCUUAGUUCUUUGGUGGUUUUGUAAGGUUGACUUGAGCGUCGGAGUGCAAUCGGCCGCUAGAGGCGCCGUUUGGUGUGUUUCGCAGGUUUGCUUGGAGUUCUUGUGGAGUUCCUGGAGCGUUCUUGCACUUGUCUCGGUUGAGGAGGUGGAAGAUAGAGUUUGACGUGGCGAAUCCUUCGACGUUUGAAUCCCCUGCAAGAUCAGUACUGAAUCAAACCAUUUAAGAGAACUUUAAAAAUCUUUUCCAAAAACAUUUAACCACAUCAUGAGCUUGAUCUUACUACCUUGAUUUGGUAUCUAGGAUGGGUCAUGCAGCAAAAGGCAACCUUGACAAUACACAAGCCUAAACAACAGAAUCAUCUAACACAUAUAGCAACCUACAAAUCAAACUAGCUAACAUCUACAUCAAACACACUAAGGCUAGGUAGAGAUGAGCUUCAUCCAUCUUCAACAUGGUCGAGCUAACGAGCUCUCCUGCAUGGUACACAUGUCCCCCGUCUUACAUGCCACUAGGUAAUCAUUUACUCUCGGGGCACCUAUACUCGAGUGGUAGUACUGACACCGAGCUAGGUUGACUUACCUGUGUUGUGCUUAAGCAAAUCAACAAACAAAUCAAUCCCACAUAGCGCCUAUGCUCGUACUUAUGUUGAGUUAGGUCAACUUACCAUGUGCCAAUUCGAAUAAAUCAACUAAACUAAAUGCAUCAUCUUCCAAGAACAAAUUUAUCACACAUUGUUCAAAAAGAAAACAUUAAGCAAGAAUAUCUUAGCUGAAAUACAACUCGAGGUUUGCGACAUUCCACGCUCUAGGAAUGGCCUCAACUGACGCCUUGGCUUAUUCGUUUACUAAUUGGAGGGCUCUCAUGGUCUCCAAGAUUUGCUGCAAGGUGGGGACCUUGCUCCCUUCAGAUCCCAAUGGAUAUUGCCUCGCGUUCCUUAUCACGUCAAAAAACUCAAACACAAUUGUGGAUGAGAUCAGGUUUUACCGGGCCCCACGGUGGGUGCCAAAUGUUCUCGCUAGUUGACUCCAAAGGCAAGCAGUGGCUCCUCCUAUUUCUGGUGAAUUAUGUGCUUCCUCUUGGAUGUUGGAGAGUGGCUUUGUUGAAACAGAGGGGGGCCUACCUGUUGAUUGCACUCCGACGAUCAAGUCAGUUCAGGGCUUAUAGAAACAAUGAGUAAGUAAGCAAGUAAUUUCAGUCUUAGAAACGGUGUACCUUUACCAGGGAUCUCAAGUCCCUUUAAUAGACUACUUUUAGGUUACCUCUUGUAACAACCUUCUCUCACGAGAACCUUAUCUCCAGUGAAAGCAUGUUUUAUUAGUGCUGCAACCGCAUAUAAUCUUAUCUCCUUAGAGUGCAUAAAAUCUUAACAGAAUAACCACCAGGGUACCAACUCAUGUACCAACAUCAGGGGUCCAAUAUGUCCCUUGGAGGCAUACAAGCCUCCACGUACCAUGCAUGCAACCUAUUCUCUUCAAGCCUAGAACUAUUGGGCUUAGGCUCUAUAGAGAAUGUUUUACUUGUGCUAGACACCACAUGUACUAAAUUUACCCCUAUGUUCACAAAUACCUUUCAUUAAUAGCCUUACGCUCACAUAUAAAAGAUUAUUUCAACUAUGCCAUACUGACCAAACGUGACCCAUUUUACUGGCCCAACAGCCGAACUGACCUGCUUAUACCAUGCACCGAGAUCCAACCCUCGAGCACUUUGUCCAAUACAAUUAUCAUAAAUAUAAUUACCUAAAAUUAUUUGUUGUGUAUAAUCAAGGUUUGAAAAUUACUAACAACUUAAUACGCUAUAAGAAAACAGUAAAUUAGAGACCAAAUUUAAGCUAAACCUUAUUAGAGUGCACAAUAGAGUCCACUAACUAAUGCAAAAAUGACAUGCAAAGAAGUGAGGAUCACGGAAAUGCAAAUCGAACAUAACUAGAUGCAAAUAAUACAAUAUAAAGAAACCGACGCACGUCUAGCCAACAUGCCAAAGCUUUCGCUACUGCUGGGCAGACUCUGGAGCGUGGAAGGUGUUGAUUCAUCGCGCGUAAUGACACUUGAGAAAGAGAGCAAGGACUUUACCGUGGAUGACAUGCGUUUGAAGGGAUCAACGUUGAGAGUGGGUUUCACGGUUUCUAAAGUUAGGUGGCAGGUACGGUCGAACCCUCGCUUUGCCCUCAGUGGUUGAGUGUCGCGUGAGUAACUUUACCAAUUUUUUUUUCUCAUUUCAUUAUUUCAUUUCACUCUCUGUUUUCACUUUCUCGUUUCACUCUCUGAUUUCACUCUCCCUCAGUUUUCCCUCUUUCACGGUCAUUCUCGCAUUUCACCCUCGUUCUCAUUUUUCACUCUUCACAAUUGGUGCCAUUGCAACUCGUAAGAAAAUUUCUCUCUCAUUUCACUAUCCCUCUCAUUUCACAGUCUCUGAUUUUCUUUCUUUGCUGCUUCAAUGCUGCAUUGUAGGUUCCAUUAUUUUCGAAGUGGCAGUGGUGAAGUAUAGAUAGUGGAAGACGAACGAACCUUGCAGAUUUUUUGUCUUUGUAGAAGUUGAGUUGAUUGAGAGCAUUGCUGAUUGAAAUGUUAGUUUAUUUUUUGGUGAUUUUUGUACAAAUGAUCCUUCAUUUUUUUAAUUAAUUUGAUCAAUAAUAUGUGAGAUGAUUUGUUAUUUAACCAGAACAUUGAUAUUGGUCUCACUUAUGUUUAUCAGAACGCAGAUGCCUAAUUUGUAAUGGAUUUGCUUAUUUAUCAUUAUUUUAAGUUUUUAAAGUUUUGGUAGGUUUUGGUUCAUGUUUGUUUGUUUAUCGUUGGGACUGUUUUGGUUUAAUUCUAAUGAAUAUUCUAUCGUUUCUUAAUUAUAUAUUAUUCAUCCUUAUAUCGUUAAUUUGGUAAAGUUGUAAGAAAUGGAAGUUUUAGGUUUUGGGAUGGUGGAAUAAUCUGAUUGAUGAAUUGUUUUGUUUAUGAUGUGAAUGUUUGUGAGUUGCAGUUUAUGUGCUGAUUCUUACAAUUUGGUUGUUGCUCUCUGAAUUUGAUAUCAAUUGAUGUUGCACAUAUGUGGUUUGAUGGGUUUUGUAGAUAGCUUUCUGCACAAAUUUUACUAGUUUAUGGUGAUGCUUUUCAUUUAAGGUACUUAAUUAAACAGUGAUAUUUUUUCAAUGGUGAGGUGCUUUUUGUAUUGUUCUGAAUCUAGUUUUUCUUAAUCUGGUUUUUCUCAAUCUGGUUUGGUGGGUUUUGUAGAUAGCUUUCUGAACAAAUUUUAUUUAUGGUGAUGCUUUUCAUUUAAGUCUUAAUUAAACAGUGAUACCAACAUCCUGCCCCAUCUAAUUCAAAAAAUAAAAAUAUUACAUAUAUUCCUAUGUGUGUAGGUAUGGACUGUCUGUAUGGCUGAUAUAUGGUGCACCAAAUCCAAUUCACUCGUGCAGUGGAAUCAAAGAAUGAAUUGCAGCUGAAGGACUUGUUUAUAGGUUCUGCUAGGAACGAUUUUGCUAGGAGUGAUGAAACAGAUUCAAUGCAGUUCUGCCUAGUUGCUACUUAGUCAUGCAACGAAUUAUCCAAUAGUUAUUUUUUACAUCUGGAGUGUUAAGCCUGUGAUGAUGCUGGUUUCUUGGUUUAGAUGUAGAUGCAGUAUGAUGUAGAUUUUCCUGUAAAACAACAUUAGUAAGGGGCGUGCUGAUAAUGGUUCCUGCAGUUUAUGGUAUUGUCUUGGUUUGGAGUGGUGGAGACGUGGGAGACAAGGAGAAGAAUGUUGUUUGUCUAGAAAAUCAGUAUGCUAUUAAGGAAUGUGUACAACAAUUGGGGUUUGCACUGCUCAACGAGUAGGAAGUCAGGGAUAAUAUAAGCUAAGCUUUAAGUAGUUGUGGUGCUCAAACAAAGGUAGAGGAAGUGUGGUGUUUGCUUAUGAAAAAGCAGAGGAAGAGGGGUUAGUCACGGCUAAAGUAAGGGCUGUAAAAUGCUUGGUCUGGCGUAAGUGAACCAGACGGUCUCCAGUUUCUGCUAUUGAUACCUAUGGUGGAUGGGGUGCUCAUGAAGGUGAUGCAUUCUAAGGGAAAGAAUGAUAGAGUAUUGGGCCCCCAAGACAGCAAGCCCAUCAGACAGAAGAAGAAGCCUUCAUGGAUGAAAGACUAUGUUAUUUAAUAGAUUAUUAGUAUUAUCAUGUCUAAUUUUGGCUAUAGAGCUUUAGGGCCCAAUGACUUGUAUCAGCCCACAUCAUCUCCUAUUUAGGUGAUGAGAAACGUAAAUAAAAGACAUGAGAAAAGUUUCUUAAACCUAGAGUAGAAUAUUCAGAGUUAACAUCUUUCUUAGCAAGCACAGUAGCUGUAACCUAUCAUUGGUGCUUUCAUUGCUCUCCACCAUGCCUCCCUCACGCCAAGCUAAGGACCUUGAGGACAUUCUCCUCACCAUCCAAGAACGUCUUUCAGCCAUACAAACACAAAUGGAAACCACAGAAGCCAGGCAGACCAACAUAGAGGCCAGCAACGAGUUCCUUCAAACCACACUCACCUCCUUGGUAAACCAGGUUUCCUCUAAUUUCCCUCCUACUUUUUCCCCACACAUGUCCACACAAGACCAGCCACAUAUUCCACCCACCAUACGACCACCAAAACUACAAUUAGCCUUCUUUGAAGGACCAGACCCCUUGGAUUGGUUAUUCCAAGCUGAACAGUAUUUUACAUUCUACCAAAUUCCCCCAGAUCAAAGAUUAUCCAUGGUUCCCUUUCACAUGAAAGGGGAUGCCCUUAGCUGGUUUAAGUGGAUGCAUCAGAACAACCUUCUUGCAGAUUGGCCCUCUUUUACCCGUGCCUUAGAGCUACGUUUUGGCCCCUCUUCCUAUACCAACCACCAAGCUGAACUAUUCAAACUACACCAACAUUCUUCGGUUUCAGAAUACCAGGCACGCUUUGAAAAAAUAUGUAACUGUGUCCAAGGGUUAUCCCCAGAAACCAUUCUGAAUUGUUUCACUUCAGGCCUCCAUCCCGAAAUCCGAAGGGAACUUGCUAUACUUAAUCCCUAUUCCAUUUCCCAGGCUAUUGGUCUUGCCAAACUCAUCGAAGAUAAAAUUAGAGACUCCAAACCUAAACCCUUUCGUUCCCCAAACCUUACAAAUUUUCAGCACCACACCACCAACAACUCACGUCACCCACACCUUCCUCCAACAACCACGACUACCCAAACCAAUCUCAAUCACCCUGCUGUACCCCAUAACCUACCACCCACCCCUCCCUUACCCAUUAAACGUCUCAUAGCUGCACAACUUCAGGAAAGGCGAGCAUUAGGUUUAUGCUAUAACUGCGAUGAAAAAUUUUACCCAGGCCACAAAUGUUCUAGCUCCAGAUUUCUUUUACUCCUAGACAAUCCUGACUAUCCCUCGGCCUCCACGGAAGAAACCCUAGAACUCACACCUACAGAUGACAUGAUCCAUUUCCACCUUUCACCACAUGCUCUAAACGGUACCCUCUCACCACAAACCCUUAAAUUCACGGGUCUCAUCAACAACCUCCCAGUCACAGUCCUAAUAGACUCUGGUAGCUCCCACAAUAUUUUACAGCCUCGCAUUGCCCAUCACCUUCACCUCCCCAUCUCACCCAGUCCCCCAUUUACCGUCAUGGUUGGAAAUGGAGCUUUUAUCACGUGUCAGGGCAUUUGUCCCUCAGUUAAUAUCGCUCUCCAAAACACUACCUUCACAAUUCCCCUUUACCUCCUUCCCAUAGAAGGAGCAGAUGUUGUUUUAGGGAUCGAUUGGUUGCGCACUUUAGGCCCAAUUACAGCUGAUUUCUCUAUCCCCAGCAUAGCCUUCACCCAUCUCAACCAACAAAUCACUCUAAAAGCCAGCACACCCACCACACCAACCCCAGCUACCUAUCAUCAGUUCUGCCAACUCCUUUCCACAAAAGCCAUGGCAUCCAUCCAUCUUUUAUCCAUUGACACACCAUCAGAUUCCACCCUCCCUCUAGAAAUCAGCAUACAAACACCAUCCUCUCCGUUAUUCUCUCUGCCAUUUUCAAUACAAUCCAUCCUUCUUCAACAUCAGACCAUUUUUCAAAUUCCUCGAGGCCUACCACCUCCUCGGCCCCAUGACCACCACAUACCACUCCUCUCUCACACAUCACCCAUUCAUGUUAAACCAUAUCGCUACCCUCACUCACAAAAAUCCACCAUCUCUACCCUUAUUCAAAUAAUGCUUCACGAAGGCAUUAUCAAACCAAGCACUAGCCCCUUCUCCUCCCCAGUUCUUUUGAUUAAAAAAAAAGAUGGUACAUGGCGUUUUUGUAUAGACUAUAGAGCCUUAAAUGCAGCCACAAUCCGUGACCGCUUCCCCAUUCCCACCAUUGAUGAAUUGCUAGAUGAAUUGGGUUCGGCUACUGUUUUCACUAAGAUUACCACCAAAUUCGCCUCACCCCCACAGAUACUCACAAAACAGCUUUCAGAACAAUGGAUGGUCACUAUGAAUUCCUAGUGAUGCCUUUCGGCUUGACAAAUGCACCAUCAACUUUUCAAGCAGCAAUGAAUGAUCUACUUAGGCCUUAUCUCAGACGGUUUGUUCUUGUCNNNNNNNNNNNNNNNNNNNNNNNNNNNNNNNNNNNNNNNNNNNNNNNNNNNNNNNNNNNNNNNNNNNNNNNNNNNNNNNNNNNNNNNNNNNNNNNNNNNNAUAUUUUGGUCUACAGUCCCACACUUCAGGACCACCUAACUCAUUUAGAGCUUAUUUUGCAAUUAUUGGCACAACAUCAUUUCUUUGCUAAGUUAUCUAAAUGCAGUUUCGCUACCACCCAAGUUAGCUAUUUGGGUCACCUUAUUUCAUCUAUAGGUGUCGCACCAGACCCAGACAAAAUUCAGGCAAUCACAAGUUGGCCACAGCCACGUUCACUCACGGAUUUACGUGCUUUCCUCGGCCUCACGGGUUUUUAUAGAAAAUUCGUUCACCACUACGCCACUCUCGCCUCUCCGCUCACCGAUUUAUUACAACACAAACAGUUUACAUGGACAUCAGCGGCACAAGAGGCCUUUCAAAUAUUACAAGCACACAUGGCAAAAAUUCCUACACUACGCCUGCCAGACUUCCAACAACCCUUCACAGUGGAAACAGAUGCCUCUGCGGUAGCUGUAGGGGCCGUCCUCAGCCAAGCCAACCAUCCCAUAGCUUUCUUCAGCAAAAAAAUGUGUCCCCGCCUCCAAUCCGCAUCAGUUUAUGUCCGAGAAAUGCAUGCAAUUAUAGAAGCAAUUAAAAAGUGGCGUCAGUAUUUACUGGGUACACAUUUCACCAUUUUCACUGACCAAAAAAGCCUCAACACCCUGUUAUCCCAAACAAUCCAAACCCCAGAACAGCAAAAGUGGACUGCCAAGCUACAAGGAUAUGAUUUUAAGAUAGUAUACAAACCUGGAAAAACAAAUGUCGUAGCUGAUGCCCUUUCCCGCCAAGAAUCGACACCCAAAUCAGUGUUUUUGUCCAUCUCUUCUCCCAUGCCGACCAUCUUCCAAACUCUCCAAAAUUACUUCGCCACCAGUGACGGCCUCCAAGUAAUACAGCAGUACACUCACAACCAACCUUCACCAUCCCUAUUCCACACACGCAAAGGACUGUUAUUUUUCCGCAACAAAAUUUUUCUUCCAGAGGCCGACACUUUUCGCCAACAGGUUCUCUGAGAAUGCCAUGAAUCUCCCACCGCAGGUCACUCAGGUUUAACACCCACAUUGGCACGAGUGGCCGCGUCCUUCUACUGGCCAGGAUGGACAAGGGACGUUAAAACCUUCAUACAACAGUGCUCUCCAUGUCAACGCAACAAGUACCUGCCAAAGAAAAUUCAGGGGUUAAUACAACCUCUCCCAAUACCAGAUCAAGUGUGGGAAGACUUAUCCAUGGAUUUUAUUACACACCUACCUUCAUCCGCGGGUCACACCGUCAUUUGGGUCAUCUGUGACCGACUCACAAAAUACGCCCACUUUCUUGCGCUUCCAACCCACUACACAGCUGAAAGUAUUGCACGACGAUUCUCAAGCGAAAUAUGCCGCCUUCAUGGGAUUCCCAAAUCCAUUGUGUCUGACCGAGACCCCAUUUUCAUNNNNNNNNNNNNNNNNNNNNNNNNNNNNNNNNNNNNNNNNNNNNNNNNNNNNNNNNNNNNNNNNNNNNNNNNNNNNNNNNNNNNNNNNNNNNNNNNNNNNAUAAACAGAGGCUUAGAAGCAUACCUUCGUUGUUUUACCAGUGACCACCCGACCUCGUGGUAUCGCUUCCUUCACCUUGCGGAACUGUGGUACAACACAUCUCAUCAUUCAGCCAUAGGCACAUCACCGUUCACGGCGCUUUACGGCCGUCCACCACCAUCCACUUUGGAUUUGCUCCAUACCCCACGCUCCGGGACCACCGUGACCGAGCUCCUCCACCAACACACCGUCAUCUUACACGAAUUGAAGAAGCAUCUCCAAUGCACACGCCAACGCAUGCGAGACAACGCUGACCGACAUCGCUCGGACGCGUCCUUCAACGUCGGCGAAUGGGUAUGGCUCCGCCUCCAACCGUANNN